rnacentral:lncRNA from 1 species
UCUCCAUCCCAACACUGAAUGUGUCCUUCCCAGUGUUGAACUUCUCUAUCCCAAUGUUGAACAUCUCAACACUGAAUAUCUCCAUCCCAUUGCUGAACGUCUCCACCCCACUGCUGAACAUUUCCAUCCCAGUGUUGAAUAUCUCCACCCCAGUGCUGAACAUCGCCAUCCCAGUGCUGCGUAUCUCCAUCCCAACACUGAACAUCUCCACCCCCAGUGCUGAACUUUUCCAUCCCAAUGCUGAACAUCUUCAUCCCAAAUCUGAACAUCUCCAUCCCAGUGCCACACAUCUGCAUCCCAAAGUGGAAUAUCUCCAUCCCAAUGCUGAACAUCUCCAUCCCAGUUCUGAACAUCUCCAUCCCAGUGCUGAACAUCUCCAUCCCAGUUCUGAACAUCUCCAUCCCAAUACUGAACAUCUCCAUCCCAUGCUGAACAUCUCCAUCCCAGUGCUGAACAUCUCUAUGCCAACGCUGAAUAUUUCCAUCUCCAUUUUCUGAGAAACACCCUGCAAGAGUCUCAGGAAGGCUGAGGACCUCAUGGUGACACCCAACAAGAAUGGACACUUCCCCCAGAGAUGUUCCCUGUUAGAAACAUAUGCCCAGUGCAGAGCCCUGGGGUAAAGCCAAGGCUGUGAUGCUCCCUGUUUUCCUCCCCGCGCCUGGCAAAGCUGUGCCCUCCAUCGGCCAAACAAUCCUGCCCUGCCCCCGUGCCCUCUGGUUGCAGCAAGGCUGUAGCAAAUCCGAGCAGGGGGACAACACAGUUCAACACAGUGUAAAACAGCAGUCGGAGCACGGCGGUGCAGAGGCAGUGCCCAAAGCAAACACACUGCUGCGAAAAAAACCUUCCCAGCUUAGUGCGCCCUUCUAAAAACACAGAGUGACUUCAGAAAAAUGUGAGAAAACAUGAGCUGCUCACCCCCAGAGGGAAAACAGAGCACAGGAGCCAUAGGAUGGAGCCUGCUGCCUGCAGCCGUGUCCCCAUGGCAGAGGAUCCUGGGGCCAUCGCGGUGCCUGGGAAGGGCUGAGCUCCCUUAAAGAGCAGUCGGAUGAUGAAUGUGGAGUUGAAAACCUCUUAGAGAAGGGAUGUGCCACAGCAGCCCGCUUC